rnacentral:rRNA from 1 species
AGUCGAGAAUCUUCGGCAAUGGGCGAAAGCCUGACCGAGCGACGCCGCGUGCGGGAUGAAGGCCCUCGGGUUGUAAACCGCUGUCGUAGGGGAGGAAGGCUCUGUGAAGAGCAGAGUUUGACCUAUCCUAGGAGGAAGUACGGGCUAAGUUCGUGCCAGCAGCCGCGGUAAUACGAACCGUACAAACGUUAUUCGGAAUCACUGGGCUUAAAGGGUGCGUAGGCGGCCACGUAAGUGAGAUGUGAAAUCCCUCGGCUCAACCGAGGAAGUGCAUUUCAUACUGCAUGGCUUGAGGGAGACAGGGGUAAGCGGAACUGAUGGUGGAGCGGUGAAAUGCGUUGAUAUCAUCAGGAACACCGGUGGCGAAAGCGGCUUACUGGGUCUCUUCUGACGCUGAGGUACGAAAGCUAGGGUAGCGAA